rnacentral:rRNA from 1 species
UGGGGAAUUUUGGACAAUGGGCGCAAGCCUGAUCCAGCCAUGCCGCGUGCGGGAAGAAGGCCUUCGGGUUGUAAACCGCUUUUGUCAGGGAAGAAAUCUUUUGGGUUAAUACCUCGGAAGGAUGACGGUACCUGAAGAAUAAGCACCGGCUAACUACGUGCCAGCAGCCGCGGUAAUACGUAGGGUGCAAGCGUUAAUCGGAAUUACUGGGCGUAAAGCGUGCGCAGGCGGUUCUAUAAGACAGAUGUGAAAUCCCCGGGCUCAACCUGGGAACUGCAUUUGUGACUGUAGAGCUGGAGUGCGGCAGAGGGGGAUGGAAUUCCGCGUGUAGCAGUGAAAUGCGUAGAUAUGCGGAGGAACACCGAUGGCGAAGGCAAUCCCCUGGGCCUGCACUGACGCUCAUGCACGAAAGCGUGGGGAGCAAACAG